AAUGGGGAAACCCAACAUGAGUUAUGUCAUGUUAUCGAUAUGUGAAUACAUAGCAUAUCAGAAGGCACACCCGGAGAACUGAAACAUCUUAGUACCCGGAGGAAGAGAAAGAAAAAUCGAUUCCCUUAGUAGCGGCGAGCGAAACGGGAAGAGCCCAAACCAACAAGCUUGCUUGUUGGGGUUGUAGGACACUCUAUACGGAGUUACAAAGGACGACAUUAGACGAAUCAUCUGGAAAGAUGA
rnacentral:rRNA from 1 species